UGGGGAAUAUUGCACAAUGGGGGAAACCCUGAUGCAGCGACGCCGCGUGGGUGACGAAGUAUUUCGGUAUGUAAAGCCCUAUCAGCAGGGAAGAAGCUGACAGUACCUGACUAAGAAGCCCCGGCUAACUACGUGCCAGCAGCCGCGGUAAUACGUAGGGGGCAAGCGUUAUCCGGAUUUACUGGGUGUAAAGGGAGCGUAGGUGGCAUGGCAAGCCAGAAGUGAAAACCCGGGGCUUAACUCCGCGGAUUGCUUUUGGAACUGUCAGGCUGGAGUGCAGGAGGGGCAGGCGGAAUUCCUGGUGUAGCGGUGAAAUGCGUAGAUAUCAGGAGGAACACCGGUGGCGAAGGCGGCCUGCUGGACUGUAACUGACACUGAGGCUCGAAAGCGUGGGGAGCAAACAGGAUUAGAUACCC
rnacentral:rRNA from 1 species